rnacentral:pre_miRNA from 1 species
CAACUACUCCCUCUGUCCCAAAUUUCUUGUCUUAGAUUUGUCUAGAUACGAAUGUAUCUAAUACUAAAAUGUGACUUGAUACAUUCGUAUCUAGACAAAUCUAAGACAAGAAUUUUGGGACGGAGGGAGUACUUU